GACGGAGGAUGCAAGUGUUAUCCGGAAUCACUGGGCGUAAAGCGCACGUAGGCGGCUUUCUAAGUCAGGGGUGAAAUCCUGGAGCUCAACUCCAGAACUGCCUUUGAUACUGGAGAGCUUGAGUCCGGAAGAGGUGAGUGGAACUCCGAGUGUAGAGGUGAAAUUCGUAGAUAUUCGGAAGAACACCAGUGGCGAAGGCGGCUCACUGGUCCGGUACUGACGCUGAGGUGCGAAAGCGUGGGGAGCAAACAGG
rnacentral:rRNA from 1 species